UGAAUACGAGACGCUAAGGCGUCGAAGUAGUGUAUGUCAUACUUCCAAGAAAAGCUUGCACUGUCAUAGAUAAAAAACGCCUGUACCAUAACCGACACAGGUGGGUAGGUAGAGUAUACUAAGGGGCGCGAGAUAACUCUCUCUAAGGAACUCGGCAAAAUAACUCCGUAACUUCGGGAGAAGGAGUGCCUUAUUCGUAAGGUUGCAAUAACAAGAUCCAAGCAACUGUUUAUCAAAAACACAGGUCUCCGCUAAGUCGUAAGACGAUGUAUGGGGGCUGACGCCUGCCCAGUGCCAGAAGGUUAAAGAAGUUGGUUAGCAAUUGCGAAGCUGAUAACUGAAGCCCUGGUGAACGGCGGCCGUAACAAUAACGGUCCUAAGGUAGCGAAAUUCCUUGUCGGGUAAGUUCCGACCCGCACGAAAGGCGUAAUGAUUUGGAUACUGUCUCGGAGAGGGGCUCGGUGAAAUAGACUUGUCUGUGAAGAUGCGGACUACCUGCACCAGGACAGAAAGACCCUAUGAAGCUUUACUGUAACUUGAAAUUGAAAUUGGACUUUAUUCGCGCAGUAUAGGUGGGAGGCGUUGAUUAUAAUCUUGUGGGAUUAUUGGAGCCAUCAGUGAGAUACCACUCUUGUAAUGUUAGAUUUCUAACUUUGAAUCAUUAUCUGGUCAAAGAACAGUUUCAGGCGGGCAGUUUGACUGGGGCGGUCGCCUCCUAAACGGUAACGGAGGCGUACAAGGGUUUCCUCUGAACGGUUAGAAAUCGUAUCUAGAGUGUAAAGGCAUAAGGAAGCUUGACUGUGAGACCUACAAGUCGAGCAGGGACGAAAGUCGGUCUUAGUGAUCUGACGGUACUGAGUGGAAAGGCCGUCACUCAACGGAUAAAAGUUACUCUAAGGAUAACAGGCUGAUCUCCCCCAAGAGUUCACAUCGACGGGGAGGUUUGGCACCUCGAUGUCGGCUCAUCGCAUCCUGGGGCGGUAGUACAUCCCAAGGGUUGGGCUGUUCGCCCAUGAAAGCGGUACGCGAGCUGGGUUCAGAACGUCGUGAGACAGUUCGGUCCAUAUCCGGUGUAGGCGUUAGAAUAUUGAGAGGAGCCUUCUUUAGUACGAGAGGACCGAGAAGGACAUACCUCUGGUGUACCAGUUAUCGUGCCAACGGUAAACGCUGGGUAGCUAUGUAUGGAGUGGAUAACCGCUGAAAGCAUCUAAGUGGGAAGCCCACCUCAAGAUAAGUAUUCUCAU
rnacentral:rRNA from 1 species